UAUCGCCCAUUGCUACCAGCACGGGCGUAAAAUUCUUAUCAUUUUCAGAGCAGCGUAGCGCGCUUAGUCACGGCGUAUGCAUAUUUCGUCAGUUAAUGUAGCUUCGUGCGUGAAACUAUCAGUAGUUUUGUGAAUAAACAAUUUAUUGUUUACUUUCAGUGCGUUGCAAAGUAAAAUUGUUUCGUGGCUUUGGGAAACAGCCCAAAUUUGGUCGAAGAAAAAACGUGUGCGUGUGUGUUUUUUUCACGAAUUGAUCGGUUUAUUGUUUAUUGGAAGAUUGGAAGAAGCAGAGGAGCAGUGACGAAAGGAAGUGAAACGAUUAAAAAUCACAUAAAACGAUCGCGAGAGCAGAGCCUUGUUUUUUGCUGUGCGGUGUUUAUGUUUAUCUUCUCACGGAGAACGGAAUUCUACGCUCAUGUUCUUUGUUCGGUCGAAUCGCAGCAGCCGCUAAUUUUAUUCGUGCUUGAACUACCCAGGAGGAUAAACAACAACGGGGGUUGGCCAAAGCUGUCGAAGGAGAAGGAGAAAAUUUUCUGCUGAGUUGGCCGACUUGAACACUUCGACUUCGGCUCGGGUUAGCUAAUUCCGGCCACAAAAUGAUGCAAGAGGCAGAAGGGGACAGCUUGACGAUGUUGGCUGAUAAGGCAACUGUUAGAACGGCUGGCCUUGACAAACAAUAGCCCCGCCCCCUCCAAUAUCCGUUCACUGUAGGAGGUGCUUUACUGGUCUUGAAAAAACGAUCCAUUGAAGAAUCGGAAGAACUGACUUGAAGCAACUUCUACAACGGCAAGAGUGAAGCACGAAGCAUUUUGAAUUUCAAUCGAUUCGCUUGUUAAUAUUCUCGAUUGUAAUUUAACGGCGAAUAAUAAAUUCAUACGACGCUCGAUGUUUUGCCGCCGGAGAGUGGGUAGACAUUCCUAGCUGCGAUCGUUAACAAAACGCAAUACGUUGUGCAAUUUUACACUUUUAAUCUCAUCACACAAACGACAACGGCAGCAGCUGUAGAUGAUGAUAUUUUUUCUAAUAUGGUGCAGUGCGGGCCCCCUUUCACAUUGUAUGUGGGUCUGUGCUGUUCGGCUUCUGCGAUAGUCAGAUUACUCUCACUUUACCCGUUCUUCCGGCUAGAAAUAAACACCAGCCGAUUUAUAAAUGAAAUAAUCACUUAUUCACACACUCCCUCUCCGAGUUGACAUGGUCGCUAUGUAGCUGUUUUAGCCUUCACGCACUAGGGAUGACAGAGCCAUGUGCACGGGGGAGAUACGUCAAAUUGUUAGAUCAGAAUGUAGAAUAGUGACCGACAGUUGGGAUAUUCCAGUGUGAGGCCCAUACUGGGAUAUUGCGGCAUUAUGUAGUGUCCUCCAUGAACAUUGUGUAGCCAUUGACAUUUGGCAUAGAUUGAAACAGUAUUUUAAGGUCCUGACAUAGGAGUUCCAUAACUAUCAUAGUCCCCCCCUACCCAAAAAUCCUGCGCACGGCUAAACGCACUAGUGGUGACCUUCGUAGCUUUUGUUUGUAUACAUGGUGGUUUCUAGUUGCGGUUGCACCCAGGGGGCUCUUGUGGCUGUC